GGGCAGCAACUAGGAAUAUUCGGCAAUGGGCGAAAGCCUGACCGAGCGACGCCGCGUGCGGGAUGAAGACCUUCGGGUUGUAAACCGCUGUGGAGAGGGAAAAUAAUGAUGGUACCUCUCUAGAAAGCACCUGCUAACUACGUGCCAGAAGCCUCGGUGAUACGUAGGGUGCAAGCAUUAUCCGGAUUUACUGGGCGUAAAGAGUGUCGUAGGCGGUUUAGUAAGUGAUUGGUGAAAGCCUCUGGCUCAACCAGGGAACUGCCAGUCAUACUACUAAACUAGAGUGAUUUCGGGAAGGCUGGAAUUCUCGGUGUAGGGGUGAAAUCCGUUGAUAUCGAGAAGAACACCAAGGGCGAAGGCAGGCCUUUAGGAAUCUACUGACGCUGAUGAACGAAAGCUUGGGGAGCAAAAGGGAUUAGAUACCCCGGUAGUC
rnacentral:rRNA from 1 species